CCCAUAGAUCCCAGAUCUGGCUGCAUACCAGAAUCGCUCAGUGCCUGAGUUGAAAAUUUUUUUAUUCCCAUGACCUGUCUCAGACCCACAGUGUUUUCAAUUCCCAGAGGUCAUGGAAAGAGGGUUUAAUUAGAAGCUGCGAUUAAUUCAGGAAGACAAAUGCUAUUUACCUGCACUUUCUUUCAAGUAAGAUGACCAUAGGUCAGACUGUAGAUUUAAGAUAUCCUUCUUUUCAGUACUCCUUGAAGUUACUCUCUUUCCAGUAAUGUCUAAAGAGACUUUAUUUUCAAUCUUCUUUGAAGAGAUUUCCUUCCUAAACGUUAAAGAGGUGAGAUGGAGUAAUCAAGCUGGGGCUCCUGGUCAAACAGACUGGAUUCAGCAUGGCGGCGCUGCCAAUUCUCAGGCAUGUAAGCAGUAUGUUGAACUUGGGUUGCCUUGCUUCUCUCCUUGGUACCUGUUUUCAUGGUACCCAGAAGUCUGCAGGUGUGUGGACAACCACCUAGGUGACUCACCUUGAAAGAAGAGCAGUCGUCUCCAUUUUGGCUGAGCCUAACCCUAAUUCCAUGUAUUGAGAUGUACAGAGCUGGCUAGGACCCUUUCCUUAUCCCUUCAAUUGGCUUUAAGCAAUGCAUAUCGGUCUAACUGAGGUGCUGAUGGUAGUCUUUCAAGUUGGCAGGCGUAUUCCCUCAGAUUCCCCACCUGUGGUUCCUAGGAGUGAGCUGGGAUGAGGCGGGAUGUGUGAGCCAAUGUUCCACACUGUCUGUCGGCUGGGAUUGAGCCUUGAGUUGAGGCUAUGACUUCCUGGGGCUUGAAAAAUUACACAUCAGACCUCAAAACAUUAGAUACUAUCUCAAUUAUGUUAUGCAGAUUACUCUUUCUGCAGAUCCUUCUCUCCACAUUUGCAGAGGUGAUUUCAGGCCUCCCACCUAACCCAGCUCAUGGCACUCACCUACGUCCCACAAUUCUCACAAUCACUCAUCCUCAAGCCACUCCCUUAAUGAAUGAAUAAAACCUGGGUUUGGCCUUAGGUGGAGACCUUUGUUCUAGAUGGCAGUCACUAUGGCUGGAUUGAGGACCCCUUGGCUCCCCAUAACUACAAAUGUGCCUUAGUGUCUUUGUUCUCAUCAUGGAUUGCACUGGAAGUGGUAGACUGGAAUUAAUUCACUAGGAUUCCAAUAGUUUUUCCACGGGAUUACAAAUACAAACUUCUGGGCCUUGAUGAGGACAGGUGCACACUUUAUAUUCUCUAUACAGGUGCACACUUUAUAUUCAUCACUGUUGAUAUGGCUAACAUUAACAGCACAUUAUUAUCCCUUUGAUUCUUUACCAAGCGUGCCCUCUGGCUUUUAGAACACGGAUUUAUUCUCCUGAGGUCUUCCAACAAUUCCUGUGGCAAGCCGGGCAACAGUUAUGAUAAUCUCCAAUGUUCAUGCAACAGUCAAUGUCUAUUUAAACAAACAUUUGGCCCGGGGGUGUAACUUAGUGUUAACAUUUGUGUUUAGCAUGGGCAAGUCACUGGGUUCCCCAGCAACAAAUAAAAAAUACAACAGAGCUUCUGAUGAAAUUCUAUUAUGUAUCGGAUAUCUGUGCUAAGCUCUGGGGAAUGCAAAGAUGACUACCUGCUUUGGAGAAGCCUGAAAUCAGAUUCUAGCUUCCUACAUAUAAGGUACAGAUCAAGCUUCAAAGUAUUAUACCAAAUGCUUCCCUCUAAGGGGCCAGCAUGUGAUUCUUCCGAACUGCCUAAACUGAGAUCAUGGUGAGUCCCAGGAUCAAACAAAUUCUUUUGGGCUCAUAGACUGAGUGCAAAAAGAAUUAGCAGGCAGUGGAGACAAC
rnacentral:lncRNA from 1 species